rnacentral:rRNA from 1 species
AGAGUUUGAUCCUGGCUCAGGAUGAACGCUGGCGGUAUGCCUUAACACAUGCAAGUCGAACGGAAAUCUUCGGAUUUUAGUGGCGGACGGGUGAGUAACACGUGAGAAUCUGGCUUCAGGAUGGGGAUAACAACUGGAAACGGUUGCUAAAACCCAAUGUGCCGAGAGGUGAAAGUAUUUAUAGCCUGAAGAUGAGCUCGCGUCUGAUUAGCUAGAUGGUGGGGUAAAAGCCUACCAUGGCGACGAUCAGUAGCUGUUCUGAGAGGAAGAUCAGCCACACUGGGACUGAGACACGGCCCAUACUCCUACGGGAGGCAGC